rnacentral:rRNA from 1 species
UACGGGUAUCUGUAGGUGACCUGCAGAUGGAUCAUUUCGAUGAAAACCUUUUUUUCUUGAGGUGUGGCUCGCACCUGUCUAACUAAACUUGAGCUACCAUUUUUUCAACACGGUUGCAUCGGUUGGCCUGUCAAUUAGUGCGGCGGCGCGAAUUUACUUUGCACCUGCCAAGCUAGGCGACGGACCGACGCCUUACUUUAAACACUUUUGAUGAUCUAGGAUUUGAAGGAUAAAAGUUCAUUUUUACAAUGAAAUCGACUGGUAAUGCGGUCGUCUAAUUUUAAAAACAACUUUUGGCAACGGAUCUCUUGGUUCUCCCAUCGAUGAAGAACGCAGCGAAUUGCGAUAAGUAAUGUGAAUUGCAGAAGUGAAUCAUCGAAUCUUUGAACGCACCUUGCGCUCCCGGCAGAUCUAAUCUGGGGAGCAUGCCUGUUUGAGGGCCGCGAAUUGUUUCGAACGACAACUUUUUUCACAAAGAGUUGGCGGAUCGGUAUUGAGGGUUUUGCCAUUCACCGUGGCUCUCUCGAAAUGCAUUAGCGCAUCCAUUUGAUAGGCAAGACGGACGAAAGCUCCUCUUUCGCUCUCUCUUCCCUGCCGGGUUUUGAUAAUAUCAGGACUUCGGAGAGGUUGAGAUGGGUACGGAGCUGGACGCAACGGCUUGCUGUUUGGAGUGCUUCUGAAACCCGCCCAUGUCGAGCUUUUUUGCUCGAAAGGGAUUUACUAAUUCACAUCGGCCUCAGAUGGGUAGGACUACCCGCUGAACUUAAGCUAUAUAAAAAAGCCGCGGAGAAAAAUGUG